AUAUCUGUUUUAAUAUUCACAGCUAUUAAUCACAACGGAGAAAAUGGGUUGCAUGUAUUUGAAACAUUUGACUCUUUCUCUCGACCAUGCCACCUGGGAAAGUCUCAUGGGAAUGGAAAUAACCUGGAAGAAAAGCAGCACUCUUGGCCUCCUUUUACAGAGAUGUUUAUUGAAUACCUGUUACGUAUGCUGGAUCGGUGACCUGGGGAACAGUUUCAGAAUUGGAUUGCAGCUGUGCUAAGAGGCAGGGGAAUUUGGGAAUUGAAAGAUGUUUUGUUGUCCCGUGGACACAUCGUCUUCUGAAGCAGAAAUUUGAUGGUCACGUCAGAGUACAUUUUUCUUGUUUUGAGUAGUACAGAAAAACAUUUAUGUGAUGCAGGGCUAAUUAUAAGCACCCCAAAACUGAUAAAUUCCUGUUUCUUGUCCAGCAUGAGAAGUUAUACCAAAUGGUAGGAAAAGCAGAUAGAAAAUCAAGAGUACUGAAUAAUUAAUACUAUUCUUUGAAUAAUUGCUUGAAUUAACAUAUAAGAUUUCUAUUACACUUAACUAACCUGAAGUUGAAUGAUGAAAAGUUAUAAACAGUGUUACAAAUGGCAUCACACGGCAGAGUGGGAAGUGGAUAUCCUUUGAAUUCUAGAAGUCCUGGGUCCCACCUGUGACAUACUAUUUAUUUGACCCCAGGCCAAUCAUUUAAGUUCCCAAUGCCCAAGUCAUUGUCUAAGAGAAUAAAUU
rnacentral:lncRNA from 1 species